rnacentral:lncRNA from 1 species
CCGGCCCCGAUUUCGGACCUGGGUACGGCGGGCGGCCGGAGGAGGAGCCAGGCUCUGGGUACGGCCGGAAGCCUGAUUACGAGAGGCCUGGAUCCGAGUAUGGUCGCCGUCCGGAGGCUGAGUACGGUUCCGGGUACGAGAAGCCUAGCACGGAGUAUGGAUCCGGGCACGGCCGUCCCGGAUCUGAGUAUGGAUCCGGGCAUGGCGGCCGGACCGAGUAUGAAAAGCCGAGCUCGGAGUACGGAUCCGGAUAUGGCGGCCGCACCGAGUAUGAGAAGCCGAGCUCGGAGUACGGAUCCGGAUAUGGCGGCCGGACCGAGUACGAAAAGCCCAGCUCGGAGUAUGGAUCCGGAUACGGCGGUCGGACUGAGUACGAGAAGCCGACCGUGGAGCCGACCGUGGGAUAUGGAUCGGGGUAUGGUGGCCGGACCGAAUACGAGAAGCCGAGCACGGAAUAUGGAUCCGGGUAUGGUGGCCGGACCGAGUACGAGAAGCCUAGCACUGAGUAUGGAUCCGGAUAUGGUGGAAAGACCGAGUAUGAAUCUGGUGGGUCCGAAUUCGGAUCCGGGUAUGGUCGCAAGCCCGGGUAUGGUGAGCAGGAAGGCGGUGAAUUUGGGUAUGGCGGCAGGCCACAGAGGACUGAGAUCGAGAGGCCGAGCUAUGGCGGCGGCGAGGACGAGCCUCCAAGGAGGCCGAGCUAUGGCGGCGGCGAGGACGAGCCUCCGAGGAGGCCGAGCUAUGGGACCCAGGACGAGCCUCCGAGGAGGCCGAGCUAUGGGACCCAGGAAGGGGAAGGGUUCGAGAGGCCGAGCUACGGGCAGCCCAAGGAGGAAGAGCGUGGUUAUGGAAAGUCAAGGUAUGGGAGGAAGGACGAUGAUGAGGAUGAGGACAAGCCUAAGAGGUAUGGGAGGAAGGACGAUGAUGAGGAUGAGGACAAGCCUAAGAGGUAUGGGUAUGGCGAAGAGGAGGAGGGCUAUGGCCGCAAGAAAUAUGUAAGUUCCAUCGAUUCUGUUUUCCUUGGUGCAAAGGAUGACACUCUUUGUGAUGUUAGGAUCGUUGGUUGCAUAGUCCUGCCAGUUUUCUAUGUAAUUUGGUACUUCUUUGUUUUCGUUUCGAUGCGAUGGAUUAAUUAUACUGUUGUCCUGUCUGCUAUGGAUAAUGUGGUUACAUACAUAUGCUGCUACCCUUCUCUGAAAUCUGGUCCUCACUGCUAUUGUCCGAUCUUUUUAGUAUGAGUAGUUUCUUGGCAUGUAUAUUGGUUGAACCUAAGUUACAAGGGAUUGAAUUAGUCAUUUAACGGCAUUGGCAUCUAAUUUGAAUGUCCAAUCUAAGUUGUAGUCCGGGCCUGCUGAGGUUACCUGAAGUGAUGCUGAGAUGCUCUUGCACUGAUUACUCUGGACAGCUAGAUAUCUAUCGUUUGAGCAAUGGAUUUUCCUCCGAAGUUGCAUGAGAGAGUGGCACCUUUUAGUGAGAUCAGCAUUACUGGGAAAUUCCCUUUUAUCUAUAAUGAAGAGUGAAGACACUUUUGUUUGCUAAUCAUUCCACAUAAGUAGGAAUACAAGCUCUUGUUCUUGUUGAACACUUCGGCAAGAGAAUUUUACGGUCAGGCAAGUGAAUCAUGUUCCAUAGAGGAGAGGCCCUAAUAUAGGCUUGUGGAUUGUCUUUGAUGUUAUCCAGCCAGUUGGGGGAGGGAGGAAAAGUGAGGUAUUAGCCACUGAACUCCUUAGGUUACACUCCUGGAUAUAUUUAUAUAUAUGCAUCAUAAGCUUCCGCAGAUUGAUAAGGCCAGGCUACUGAGUCAUGUUAUUUAGGUUGGAGGCCAUAAGUUAGUUUUGCCGACUUUCUUUGACUUUGUAAUCACGGUGUGGAAGGAAGAAAAAGAGGAGCAUUCACUGAACAACUCCUUAGAGUAUAUGCGAGUCUCAUACUUCAGUAGUCUAGUUAAAAUGUACAUACAGGUGAAAAUAAAUAAAAGUAUAGAACAAGUAGUCAACCCUCAAUCUUUCCCAAACACAACUUGUCCCCCCAUCGCCUUUACUGGAAAAAUUAAAACCCUUGGAACUUCUGUUUUCAGUCAAUUGGAUCCCCAAGUUCUUGGAGUAAUCCAGCUCUACCGGAACUUGAUUAAGCUUAUUUGCUCGAAGAGAGUACUAGGUCAGAGUCUGCUGUAAACUGAAUUUGGGAUUUAAUUAUCACACAUAAUCAAGGGGAAGGCAUGCAUUGAUUCACAUGGCUGGAACUGUGACUUUGUUUUGGUUCCUGCACUGCUUGACCACUUGUGACCAUUUACAUGUUAGAACUUGAUUGUAUGCCUUUAACAAUAGAUUAACUUCAUUUUGCCUGUUUUCUCCUAUCCAUCUCACAGAAAUGUUUCUUCCUCCCUCUAUUCAUUCUUUCUGCACUGUUUGACCUGUCUCAUACUUAGAUUAAUGUUAUAGUCGUGACUGUGCCACAUAGCAUAGAUUAAGUUCUUGUUCAGACUGAAAUAUAGUUUGGGAUGUGUCAAAAGAAUUUUUUAAUGGCGUUUUCACUGUUAAAACACCAUCUUCAACCCAAGUCGGUAGAACUCGGAUAUUUGCCUCGCUCAUACUCUAUAGGAGUGUGAGCUGUUUAUGUUUAGCUUUCACCCCCUCUUGCGCCCCAUGUUGAUAUGCUGAGCUAUUCUUACAUUGCAGGGAGAUGACGACUCUGGUGAUGAUGAGGAUGAGGAAAAGAAGCAUUACCGCUCCAAGCAUCACCACCACCACAAGCACCAUGACGAUGACGAGUGAUCUAAUCCUUGGUCGCCUCUUGAUGGGAACCCAUGCUAUAUUAAGCUACUAAAUAAAGGGUUUCCAGGAUGCUGUGCGUGUCGUUUGUUGC